GUAAUAUGCGUGUGACCACUCAUGAAGGCGAAGCUUGACUGCAUAUGGUUUGUUUCCACAGGAAAUCUGGCACUUAUACUGAAAGAAAUAUCUGAACCCUUGUGGAUUUUUACUGUUGUAUUCUUACUGUUCAUUAGAGAAGGAGACAUAAGAGAGUUUCAUCAGAUGUAAAAGAGCAUUCCCAGGGAAUAUGAUCAAUGACCAAAGGACUCAUUUCUUUCUGACAUUCUGCCUGUUUAUGGGGGUGCUUUGCAUCAUGUUUUUUCUUCAUGUUGUGCUGUUAAAAGAGAUGAGAUAUAUGGAAAAUAACUGGACUUGGUGUGAAAAAAAAAAAACACAACAAAAAAAAAACGGCAGCUGACCAAUAAACUACCUAGAAAGAAUUCAGCCUGGAUCUCAGCUGCAAAUUACAUCACUGAAAAAUGUGGAAAUGUCUUUGAAAGCCCAUCUAAAGCCCUAAUUAUCCUUAAUGUAAGAGGACCAUUAUCGUCUACAGAUGAAAUGAAUAAUACAAGAAAGUAAGAAAUAUUCCAAAGUUUUGGUUACCUUAAUAAAUUCCUAAACGUGAAGGAACUCACAGAUCUUCAUCCAAUGCAACCAGAAAUUACUAAUGCAGGUGGGAGUAUCAAAAGCUUGAGUUUUUCAGCUGGCAUCUUACAACAUCUUCUGUUGAGACGGUGCUUUUCAUCCACUGUACUGAUGGAUUGUGACUAUAGCUGCCCAGAAAAGAUAUAACAAGGAUGUCUGUUUCCUGGAUAACCAUCAUGUAGGUGUAGAACAUGAGAUGCUGCUAAUUUCAGAGGCUCAUCAGGAUAUUAAUAGCCUGCUUACUUUGAAAGUAAUGGGCUUGUUUGAAUUCCUGGUCCUGAAAUACAGGAAACAUUCAGGAUAGGUUUUUCAACCAGGAUGGCUUUUUAAGUGAAGUUGAAACAGGUCACUGGAAAAAAGGACGCAGAAAGAAAUUUGGGACUGAUUAGUAAAGUCCACUUACCAGGUUCUGCUUGCCCAGUUCAACAUAAGCAGUUUUUUAUUAAUUAAUAAAUCAUCCUGUCUUUCUCUGCAGAUUGAGAAUUCUUCAAAGUGGCUUACAUGCAGUUCUUAGUACAGCUGCUUGCUGGGGGUGUGUGCUCUGUGUGGGGGAUCUAUCAGCAGCCUGGCUACCUCUGCAUGAUCUUGGGUAAGUCCUGAAUAAAAAUCAAAGGCCAGAUUGUUCUGUUUUACCAAAUGUGUUGCCUGGGGCCUGCUAAUUAAUAGAAUGUCUAGGAAUGUCAUACAUCUAUUGAAAAAAAAGUGUCACUUGAAAAUUGCUAUUGUUUUAAUUGAAUGUUGUCAUUUUCGCAUAGUGACCGAUAUCUCAGCCUACCAGUCUUUUGAAAGAGCAAACUGGAACAUGGGAAAACAGGCCACUCAUAGGAAAACACUGUCUGUUUUUAAGUUAUUUUUUAACUUAGGUCCCACAGAGCCAUAAAUGCUCCCACAUGUUGACUGGGGGCCUUAUCCUGAAAUCCGAACUUGUGUUUCUUAUGAGUUAUUCCAUCAUAAGUCAGUGCUGGAGGCUAACUGUAAACAGGGGUUGCAGAAUUGGUCUGAUUUUGACUUAGCAAUAGAGCAUAACUCUAUGAAAAUUUGCUGGAGAUAUGGCAGCUAGUAACAUGGGCAGACCAGCUGAAACUCCGAAGUUUCAUGAUGGUAGGCAUGCAGGAUUGUCUACCAGUAAGUGUCUGCAGAAUUGGGUGGUAGGUGGUCCUACUUUAUUUGCUGUUUUAGCAGAAGUCUGGUACUUGUUAGGGAGUGAGUUAGUUCCUCUGGGAAAGGUGGGUGUAACUUGUCAGGACAUGAAGGAUAACUAACCUCAGACAUUUGGGAAGUUGUGUGUGUGUUUUGAUGCAUAUGAUUUUGUUAUGUAAAAUAGUGAGGCUCACCCCCUUCUCUGCCUGAUCGUGCCCUCUUGUGGGUUUCUGCACAGUUCUUUUGAAGGAGAAGGGUAGCUCAUAUGAUGAGGUGAGAAAGAAGAUGAAUGGAAAUAGAAACCAGGAGGAAUCAGAUCUUCAGCUGAAUAGUUAUAAGGGCUUCUAGCAUUCAAAAUUUUUUUGUCUUGUGUCACUGGGCCUAUAGGGGAAAAAUGAACAUUAUCUAAAGGUUACAUCUUGAUUUUUACAGAAUAAUUUGGCCACAAUUUAAUUGAGCAUUAUGAGAAGCAUUUUAUAUGAUAUCUCACUGUAU